UUUUAAAGUAGAUUAACCAUGAACAAAGCCAGGUGUUUUUAAAGUAGAUUAACCAUGAACAAACCCAGGUGUUUUUAAAGUAGAUUAACCAUGAACAAACCCAGGUGUUUUUAAGGUAGAUUAACCAUGAACAUAGAGCCAGGUUUUUUUAUGGUAGAUUAAUCAUGAACAAAGCCAGGUGUUUUUAAGGUAGAUUAACUAUGAACAAAGCCAGGUGUUUUUAAAGUAGAUCAACCAUGAACAAAACCAGGUGUUUUAAGGUAGAUUAACCAUGAACAUAGAGCCAGGUGUUUUUAAGGUAGAUUAACCAUGAACAUAGCGCCAGGUGUUUUUAAGGUAGAUUAACCAUGAACAAAGACAGGUGUUUUUAAGGUAGAUUAAACAUGAACAUUGCGCCAGGUGUUUUUAAAGUGGAUUAACCAUGAACAAAACCAGGUGUUUUUAAAGUAGCUCAACCAUGAACAAAGCCAGGUGUUUUUAAAGUAGGUUAACCAUGAACAAAAACAGGUGUUUUUAA